AGUAAGAAAACGUGUCUUGAUUAUCACGAGAAUCGAUGGCCAAUCCACUGGCAGUGAACGUCUCUGGACACCAACAGAGUGGGAACGGUAUGUCGGAUUCCGGGGGAAACGACUUCGUCAAGGCAAGAAAGUUGACCAGCCAGUCAAGCUUGACUUGAAGACUGCAGUGUUCGCUCAUCCGUCGUCAGAGACUUGAAGAAGAAAAAACAUACGAUUGUAUUUCUCUCGACCAAAAUUUGCUCGAAAAAAUUAAGUAACCUGAUUACUUAUUAGAAGCCAUCUGUUAUUGUUUUCAUACUCCGAACAGCUGUUCCGCGGGAAACGUCAUGGUGGCUGCUGACCUGACCAGAAAGUUUAAGUGAUAAAAGAUCAAAACUAUUCAUACAGCUUGGUUAUGACCUUUUAUUGUCGUUAUUGAAGUGUAGCCGAGGAAAUCGUAUUGCUUGCUGAAAUUUAACGUGACGUUUGGUGCGUAUUAAUUUUUAUCCUAUCAACUCUCCAGCUGAUUUUGGAUUUAUAGGCAGAGGAAUAUUACCAGAGGUUUGAUGCUAAUUUAGUAAAGAAAGCUACACUAAGCCGUCACAAUGGUUCAUGACAACGCUUUGCACGGACAAGUUGCUUUAAUUGGAAAUAGG